rnacentral:ncRNA from 2 species
AUUCGCAAAGGAAAUGGUGUUCUUCCUUACCCAACCGCUUUUUCAAAAAGCUGAUGACGCCUGAUUAAUG